UACGUAGGGCGCGAGCGUUGUCCGGAAUUAUUGGGCGUAAAGAGCUCGUAGGCGGCUUGUCACGUCGGGUGUGAAAGACCGGGGCUUAACUCCGGUUCUGCAUUCGAUACGGGCUAGCUAGAGUGUGGUAGGGGAGAUCGGAAUUCCCGGUGUAGCGGUGAAAUGCGCAGAUAUCAGGAGGAACACCGGUGGCGAAGGCGGAUCUCUGGGCCAUUACUGACGCUGAGGAGCGAAAGCGUGGGGAGCGAACAGG
rnacentral:rRNA from 1 species